CUUUAUAUUAUAUGACAUUAUAUUAUCUUUGAAGGCCUAAAAUUACCUAUCUUCAGUCUUGAUUUGAUUGCGAUUCAUAUUUGUACUUGUCAUAAGGUAAAAAGUGCGACUAAUGUUAGCUUCUAAUUUUCUAUGCAACACUCAUACAACUUUUGAAUGGAAAAGUACAUUUUUUGGAAGUGCAAAACUACACACUGAUUUGAUAGCUAAAAUUAUACGUGACGCUAAAUUUUUUGAAGAUACUCGCCUUAAUAAACUAAGCAUAGGAUUUUGUUUAAAAACCUAGGAUGGAAUUUUUGAAAGAGAAACUCAAUUUUCAAGGGGUGGCAAAAAAAUUGCUUUGCUGAUGACAUAAUGUACAUUGCUCUACAAAAUUAUUCUGUCGCCAAGAUUUAAAUAUAAUAAGUUCAAAAAACCUAGACUAUAAUUCAUGAGUUUUGUUUAAAAAAUAACACAAAUUUAAAAAUUGGGUGGUGGGUUUGGGCGUGAAAGGACGGAGGAGUGACUUCUGAUUUAUCUCAUAGAUUCAUAUCAAUAAGACUGACUAGAUGCGGAAGCAGUGGUUAAGGAUAUGAAGAAGCGGGAAGAAGCCAGAAUAAGAACUAUACUUCACAGAUAUUCGUUUCACAGACCAUGAAAUAGGCCACACCAUCAGAAACCUGGAGGAGUGGAUGUCUCCUUCCAAAAUAAAGACGGACGCUUCACAAACUACAAAUCUGUGCACUGCCGGAACGCUGGUAUGGAGUUCGCUAACGACGUCAGAUAUCCUCCAUUUAAAAACAGCAAGCUAAAAGAUUUCCUCUACACUUUCUUGUUCUACAACUCAGGUUUAUACAACCCCCGGAAGUACAGAGAAAAGAGCAUACACAGUGUGGAAUCUCGAUAGCCUCUUAAGAGGACGUAAAAGCAACUCUGAUCUUGGAGGCUGGAAUUUCAACAAUUCCAGGUCACGAUUCUCAAACAAUGUCGAAGGUAAUGGAUAGCAGCGUCUAGAAAUGCCCACUGUACAACUGAGAAGUGCUCCUUUGUUGCCCUCCUUCUCCAGACACUACAUGUCAAUAGUCCGAACAAAAAGUUGUAAUAUAAGUAACUGCUAAGGAGGGAUUGUCGUUGAG